UACAGAGGUCCCGAGCGUUGUUCGGAUUCACUGGGCGUAAAGGGUGCGUAGGUGGCGGGGCAAGUUUGAUGUGAAAGCUCAGGGCUUAACCCUGAAAUGGCAUUGAAUACUGCUUUGCUGGAGGUUUGGAGGGGGGACUGGAAUUCUUGGUGUAGCAGUGAAAUGCGUAGAUAUCAAGAGGAACACCUGCGGCGAAGGCGGGUUGCUGGGCCGACACUGACGCUGAGGCGCGAAAGCCAGGGGAGCGAACGGG
rnacentral:rRNA from 1 species